rnacentral:rRNA from 1 species
GCAUAUCAAUAAGCGGAGGAAAAGAAACCAACAGGGAUUGCCUCAGUAACGGCGAAGUGAAGCGGCAACAGCUCAAAUUUGAAAUCUGGCCGCAAGGUCCGAGUUUGUAAUUUGUAGAGGAUGCUUUUGGCGAGGUGCCUUCCGAGUUCCCUGGAACGGGACGCCAUAGAGGGUGAGAGCCCCGUACGGUAGGACCACCAAGCCUCUGUAAAGCUCCUUCGACGAGUCGAGUAGUUUGGGAAUGCUGCUCUAAAUGGGAGGUGUACGUCUUCUAAAGCUAAAUACCGGCCAGAGACCGAUAGCGCACAAGUAGAGUGAUCGAAAGAUGAAAAGCACUUUGAAAAGAGGGUUAAAAAGUACGUGAAAUUGUUGAAAGGGAAGCAUUCAUGACCAGACUUGGGCUUGGUUGAACAUCCGGCGUUCUCGCCGGUGCACUCUGCCAGUCCAGGCCAGCAUCAGUUUGCCCCGGGGGAUAAAGGCGGCGGGAAUGUGGCUCCCUUCGGGGAGUGUUAUAGCCCGUCGUGUAAUGCCCUGGGGCGGACUGAGGAACGCGCUUCGGCACGGAUGCUGGCGUAAUGGUCAUCAAUGACCCGUCUUGAAACACGGACCAAGGAGUCGUCUUCGUAUGCGAGUGUUCGGGUGUCAAACCCCUACGCGUAAUGAAAGUGAACGUAGGUGAGAGCUUCGGCGCAUCACCGACCGAUCCUGAUGUUCUCGGAUGGAUUUGAGUAAGAGCAUACGGGGCCGGACCCGAAAGAAGGUGAACUAUGCCUGUAUAGGGUGAAGCCAGAGGAAACUCUGGUGGAGGCUCGCAGCGGUUCUGACGUGCAAAUCGAUCGUCAAAUAUGGGCAUGGGGGGCGAAAGACUAAUCGAACCUUCUAGUAGCUGGUUUCCGCCGA